rnacentral:rRNA from 1 species
ACGCUCGACACCUACAGGAGGCAGCAGUCGGGAAUAUUGCGCAAUGGAGGAAACUCUGACGCAGUGACGCCGCGUGCAGGAAGAAGGUUUUCGGAUUGUAAACUGCUUUAGACAGGGAAGAUGAUGACAGUACCUGUAGAAUAAGCUCCGGCUAACUACGUGCCAGUAGCCGCGGUGAUCUGAGCGGGCUGGCAAGGC